AAAGAAAGAAAGAUAUAAGGCGAAAACUGCGACUUGCUGUAAACCAAAUCUACUGUAUAUUGUUGUCUCUGUACACAAACACUGGGCCGACAGACAGACAGACAGACAGAC